UGUGCUAUGGCUUAGUUGGCUAAAGCGCCGGACUAGUGAUAUGGAAUCGUGCGUUCGAAUCCCACCAAAACAA
rfam:Aedes albopictus isolate Foshan contig2689, whole genome shotgun sequence.